UGGGGGAUAUUGCACAAUGGGGGAAACCCUGAUGCAGCGACGCCGCGUGAAGGAAGACGUACUUCGGUAUGUAAACUUCUAUCAGCAGGGAAGAAGAUGACGGUACCUGACUAAGAAGCCCCGGCUAACUACGUGCCAGCAGCCGCGGUAAUACGUAGGGGGCAAGCGUUAUCCGGAUUUACUGGGUGUAAAGGGAGCGUAGACGGUGAAGCAAGUCUGAUGUGAAAACCCGGGGCUCAACUCCGGGAUUGCAUUGGAAACUGUUUUACUUGAGUGCUGGAGGGGCAAGCGGAAUUCCUGGUGUAGCGGUGAAAUGCGUAGAUAUCAGGAAGAACACCGGUGGCGAAGGCGGCUUGCUGGACAGUAACUGACGUUGAGGCUCGAAAGCGUGGGGAGCAAACAGG
rnacentral:rRNA from 3 species